rnacentral:rRNA from 1 species
GCUUGACCUCAAAUCAGGUAGGAUUACCCGCUGAACUUAAGCAUAUCAAUAAGCGGAGGAAAAGAAACUAACAAGGAUUCCCCUAGUAACUGCGAGUGAAGAGGGAAAAGCUCAAAUUUAAAAUCUGGCAGUCUCUGAUUGUCCGAGUUGUAAUUUAGAGAAGUGUUACCCGUGUUGGACCGUGUACCAAGUCUCCCUGGAAUGGAGGCGUCCAUAGAGGGGUGAGAAUCCCCGUUCUUUGAUACCGGAUCCCCC